AUUGAACGCUGGCGGCAGGCCUAACACAUGCAAGUCGAGCGGUAGAGAGGAGCUUGCUUCUCUUGAGAGCGGCGGACGGGUGAGUAAUGCCUAGGAAUCUGCCUGGUAGUGGGGGAUAACGUUCGGAAACGGACGCUAAUACCGCAUACGUCCUACGGGUGAAAGUGGGGGAUCUUCGGACCUCACGCUAUCAGAUGAGCCUAGGUCGGAUUAGCUAGUUGGUGAGGUAAAGGCUCACCAAGGCGACGAUCCGUAACUGGUCUGAGAGGAUGAUCAGUCAGACUGGAACUGAGACACGGUCCAGACUCCUACGGGAGGCAGCAGUGGGGAAUAUUGGACGAUGGGCGCAAGCCUGAUCCAGCCAUGCCGCGUGUGUGAAGAAGGUCUUCGGAUUGUAAAGCACUUUAAGUUGGGAGGAAGGUCAGUAGCUUAAUACGUUGCUGAUUUGACGUUACCGACAGAAUAAGCACCGGCUAACUCUGUGCCAGCCGCCGCCGUAAGAC
rnacentral:rRNA from 1 species